GCCACUGUGGCAUAGUGGUUUGAGUCAUGGACUACGACUCUGAAGAUCAGAGUUCGAUUCUCAGCUCAGCUA